GAGAAGGUGAGAGCUGGGGGAAAAUUGAGAGGUGGCCAGAAAGAGAGGCUUUGGUCAUUUCCAGAGUCAUGGAGUUGCAGAGAACUAGCUUUAGGCAUUGCAUGUAAUUUAAUGUUCUUCAAUGUCCUGUAGCCUAAGACCACCUGGAACACACCUGUAGUCAACAAAGUUAGGCUGAUUAACGCCACAGCAAGGGAAACUGCACGCUGUGGGGAAGCUUGAGGCAUCUCAAAAGGGUGGAUUAAGACAAGGGCACCCAAUAAAGCUUUGGGGGCUGGAGUUAGUCACAGGAUGGUGUUGGCAGGAUUUCAUCAGAUUCUGUAAACUGGGGAGUUUCUGGAAAAGUAAGUGGUCUUAUCUUUGGGAUUCACAAGUCUGUGUGGAGUUACUGACAGGUCAAUUUCUCUAUGGUCUUAUCUGGGAACAAAUGGGCCUGAAAGAGCUGGUGUUUCAAGGUUUGAACUUAGAUCGUCUGUGAUGCCCACCACGGUGUGGUCGGGAGAAAUUGGCCUGCUUCGAAACUGAGGCUUAUGUUUUGAAAAUUGUGGUUUCUGUUUUCAUUCUCGGUCCCUGUCAUCUCUCUGCCAACAUGAACCCCAGUCUGCCAGUCUACCUUUUUCAUUUACUCACUAUUUUUCUAUCCCAUCGUUAUGGUUAUUCUACUGACAUGCUACAUGUAACAUAAAGAGCCCUACAGCUGCAUAACCUCCUGAGAGAGGGCUUCUUUAGUUUGCAAUGGAGAACUGGAGAUGGUGCUCAUUCACAGAUAUCUAACACUCGGUAAGUCAUCUUGUUUGACCACUCCCUCCUCACAGGUCUGUGCCUUAACUGUGCAUGUGAAAUAUUAUAUAUCUUAGAUUUAAGAAACAAUUUGGCUCAACAAAUGACAGUAUCAGGGAGCUAUUAUGAGUUCUAAGAACUACUGUCCUCCUGCUAUAGGUCCAGACAAGACUUUAGCAUGGCAGGCUGCCUCCUAGGGCUGGGUAGUCAAGAAGGGCUGAUAGUGGGUGAGCUAGUCAAGAAGCGCAGCAAAAUGAUGGUGAAAUACCACUUCAUACUUACUAGGAUGGCUACUAUUAAAAAAGAACACACACACAGAAAAUAACAGAUGUGGGCAAGCAUGUGGAGAGAUUGGAACCCUUGGACACUGUUGGUGGGAAUGUAAAAUGGUG
rnacentral:lncRNA from 1 species